AAGGCUUGUAAUGAGGUUGGGCUAACAAGAAAGAAUUGGUUUUUCUAGAAUGCAAAAUCCUUGAGUCAAGAGAGCUAAUCAAAAUAUUCAACAUUUAAGCACAACUCUCUCACCAAUAUUUCUCAUUCCCAACUUCUUCCCUUUUCUUUUAUUUUUCAUUGAGCUCAUCUUCAUGCUUUUCCUCUUUUCUUUUCUUUUUCUCAUGAAUUUUUCUCUUUUCACAACAAUUGAGCUCAAUGCCUUUCACUUGCUUUUUCAAUUUUCCCCCGUACAACCCCAAACUUGAACCUUUUCAUCACAUACAAUUUAGCUCAUCCCAACUCAAGGUAA
rnacentral:lncRNA from 1 species